UACAGAGGGGGCAAGCGUUAUUCGGAAUUAUUGGGCGUAAAGGGCACGUAGGCGGCUUGGCAAGUGGAAGGUGAAAUCCCUCGGCUUAACCGAGGAACUGCCCUCCAAACUGCUUCGCUUGAGACCGGGAGAGGUGAGUGGAAUUCCCAGUGUAGCGGUGAAAUGCGUAGAUAUUGGGAGGAACACCAAUUGCGAAGGCAGCACUCUGGGACGUGACUGACGCUGAGACGCGAAAGCGUGGGGAGCAAACAGG
rnacentral:rRNA from 1 species